rnacentral:rRNA from 1 species
UACGGAGGGUGCAAGCGUUGUUCGGAAUCACUGGGCGUAAAGCGCGUGUAGGCGGCCUUCUUAGUCUGGUGUGAAAGCCCGGGGCUCAACCUCGGAAGAGCAUUGGAUACUGGAAGGCUGGAGUACCGGAGAGGAGGGUGGAAUUCCUGGUGUAGCGGUGAAAUGCGUAGAUAUCAGGAGGAACACCGGUGGCGAAGGCGGCCCUCUGGACGGAUACUGACGCUGAGACGCGACAGCGUGGGGAGCAAACAGG